AUUGAACGCUGGCGGCAUGCCUUACACACGCAAGUCGAACGGCAGCGCGGGAGCAAUCCUGGCGGCGAGUGGCGAACGGGUGAGUAAUAUAUCGGAACGUGCCCAGUCGUGGGGGAUAGCCCGGCGAAAGCCGGAUUAAUACCGCAUACGACCCACGGGUGAAAGGGGGGGAUCGCAAGACCUCUCGCUAUUGGAGCGGCCGAUAUCAGAUUAGGUAGUUGGUGGGGUAAAGGCCCACCAAGCCUACGAUCUGUAGUUGGUCUGAGAGGACGACCAGCCACACUGGGACUGAGACACGGCCCAGACUCCUACGGGAGGCAGCAGUGGGGAAUUUUGGACAAUGGGGGCAACCCUGAUCCAGCAAUGCCGCGUGCAGGAAGAAGGCCUUCGGGUUGUAAACUGCUUUUGUCAGGGAAGAAAUCCCUUGGGUUAAUACCUCGGGGGGAUGACGGUACCUGAAGAAUAAGCACCGGCUAACUACGUGCCAGCCGCCGCGGUAACAC
rnacentral:rRNA from 1 species